UAGGGUUAAAACGGCGGAAGUGAAAGGAAGCUGUCAAGAUUGCACAUUCACCAUAGACGAAAUUGAGAGCUCAAGCGACAACUAGUUGAAGAGGUGGGUAAGACUACACAACCGGGAGCUAUGGCGGACGGGCCUCAAAAAGAAAUCAACGGCGUUCAUCUGUUGAGGCAACGAGUAGACUCCGGCGACUCGCUUCGACUCCGUUGGAGUGCGCCGGUGGGUGAGGGCGGCAAAUACAGUGCGGGAACAAUGGGCGAAGAACAAGAAAUCCAAGAAAUCUAAGAAGCAACAUGUUGAGAUUACGGACAGCCAUAACACAGAUGAUGACUUCGUUGAUCCUCCGGUUCAAGAAACAAGUACACAGGAUAACCAAGACUGUUUGUUUCUGUGCCGUUAUGUUUUGUAAAGUAUGCAUUUGUGGGUGUAUUGUAUGUUAGUGAAAGUGUGCAUCAGGUAAUAUUAUUUCAGUGCAAUUUUGAAUGUUUAUAAUGUGCAUAGUA